rnacentral:rRNA from 1 species
GACGAACCGCCGGCGGCGUGCCUAAUACAUGCAAGUAGAACGCUGAAGAGAGGAGCUUGCUCUUCUUGGCAGAGUUGCGAACGGGUGAGUAACGCGUAGGUAACCUGCCUUGUAGCGGGGGAUAACUAUGGAAACGAUAGCUAAUACCGCAUAACAAUGGGUGACCCAUGUCAUUCAUUUAAAAGGGGCAACUGCUCCACUACAAGAUGGACCUGCGUUGUAUUAGCUAGUAGGUGAGGUAACGGCUCACCUAGGCGACGAUACAUAGCCGACCUGAGAGGGUGAUCGGCCACACUGGGACUGAGACACGGCCCAGACUCCUACGGGAGGCAGCAGUAGGGAAUCUUCGGCAAUGGGGGCAACCCUGACCGAGCAACGCCGCGUGAGUGAAGAAGGUUUUCGGAUCGUAAAGCUCUGUUGUAAGUCAAGAACGAGUGUGAGAGUGGAAAGUUCACACUGUGACGGUAGCUUACCAGAAAGGGACGGCUAACUACGUGCCAGCAGCCGCGGUAAUACGUAGGUCCCGAGCGUUGUCCGGAUUUAUUGGGCGUAAAGCGAGCGCAGGCGGUUUGAUAAGUCUGAAGUUAAAGGCUGUGGCUCAACCAUAGUUCGCUUUGGAAACUGUCAAACUUGAGUGCAGAAGGGGAGAGUGGAAUUCCAUGUGUAGCGGUGAAAUGCGUAGAUAUAUGGAGGAACACCGGUGGCGAAAGCGGCUCUCUGGUCUGUAACUGACGCUGAGGCUCGAAAGCGUGGGGAGCGAACAGG